GGAAGGAUCAUUACCGAACUGUCGACAUGAGUUGCUGCUGGCCCACAAAUGGGGGCAUGUGCACACUCUGUUUACACAUCCACACACACCUGUGCACGCUCUGUAGUUCUGUGGCCUGGGGGACUCUGUCCUCUUGCUGUGGUUCUAUGUCUUUACACACACACUGUAAUAAAGUCUCAUGGAAUGCAUGUCGCGUUUAACGCAAUACAAUACAACUUUCAGCAACGGAUCUCUUGGCUCUCGCAUCGAUGAAGAACGCAGCGAAAUGCGAUAAGUAAUGUGAAUUGCAGAAUUCAGUGAAUCAUCGAAUCUUUGAACGCACCUUGCGCCCUUUGGCUAUUCCGAAGGGCAUGCCUGUUUGAGUAUCAUGAACACCUCAACUCUCAUGGUUUGCCAUGAUGAGCUUGGACUUUGGGGGUCUUGCUGGCCUGUGGUCGGCUCCUCUCAAAUUAAUCAGCUUGCCAGUGUUUGGUGGCAUCACAGGUGUGAUAACUAUCUACGCUUGUGGUUUUCCACCAGGUAACCUUCAGUGAUGGAGGUUCGCUGGAGCUCAUAAAUGUCUCUCCUCAGUGAGGACAGCUUUUUAAACGUUUUGAUCUCAAAUCAGGCAGGACUACCCGCUGAACUUAAGCAUAUCAAUAAGCGGAGGAAAAGAAACUAACAAGGAUUCCCCUAGUAACUGCGAGUGAAGCGGGAAGAGCUCAAAUUUAAAAUCUGGCGUGCCUCUGGUCG
rnacentral:rRNA from 1 species